rnacentral:rRNA from 1 species
UAGUGAUAGCUGGUUGUUCAGGAAAAGAGUUUUAGCUCUGCCUUAAGUUUUUUCAUUUCAUCAAACAAGCCCUUAAACUUAAGAGUUAUUCAAAUUAGGCACAGCUUAUUUGAAACAGGAUACAACCUCCACCACCGGGUAAACAAGGGUAGUCAAAACUAAGUGGGCCUAAAAGCAGCCACCUUUCAAAAAGCGUCAAAGCUUAUCUACUCCAACCCCCAAUUUCUAAAAUACUCCCUAACCCUUCAUUCCUACUGACCCCUUUUAUAUUGUUAUAAAAAUAAUUAUGCUAGAACUAGUAACAAGAAGUCGCCCUUCUCCAUAAUGUAAGUAUAAACCAAAAUGGACCUUCCAUUGGUAAUUAACGUAAAUGCAAACCCCAUAAUAACAUAACCAGAAAACCUUAUGGCCCCCCACGUUACCCUAACACUAGAACAUUACAGGAAAGAUUAAAAGAGAAAGAAGGAACUCGGCAAAUUUUAACCCCGCCUGUUUACCAAAAACAUCGCCUCUUGAUUAAACAUAAGAGGUCCAGCCUGCCCAGUGACAAAAUUCAACGGCCGCGGUACACUAACCGUGCGAAGGUAGCAUAAUCAUUUGUUCUUUAAAUAGGGACUAGUAUCAACGGCAUCACGAGGGUUAUACUGUCUCCUGUCUCUAAUCAGUGAAACUGAUCCCCCCGUGAAGAAGCGGGGAUUUAGCUAUAAGACGAGAAGACCCCAUGGAGCUUUAAACCCAACAUGCACCCACCCACCCAAACCAACUUAACCUAGAGGACCUGCAUGUUGGUUUUAGGCUGGGGGGGCCACGGAGUAAAAUUAAACCUCCACAACAAAUGGGCUAACACCCUUAUCCGUGAUUUUACAAAUCUAAGAAUUACCAAAAUAAUGUUUAAUGACCCGAUAAUUCGAUCAAUGAACCAAGUUACCCUGGGGAUAACAGCGCAAUCUACUUCAAGAGCUCUUAUCGACAAGUAGGUUUACGACCUCGAUGUUGGAUCAGGGUAUCCUAGUGGUGCAACCGCUACUAAUGGUUCGUUUGUUCAACGAUUAAAACCCU